UCCGUCUUUUUGUUUUCCUUAUCAUAUAUUAAGAAACCGACUGCUUACGAGCACCAUUAGACAGAAAAAAUUAAAAAAAAGUUCAUUGAGAUAUACAAAUAGCAAACGAGAAUGGACUUUCAAGGGAAUGAGGAGACAAUGGAAAAAGAAGCCAGGAAAGACAGAGAAAAGAAGGUAAGGAAAAAAAAAAAAGAAGGGAAUACUGAGAAGGAAAGAGAAGGAUAGAAAGAGAAGGCACAACUGGAGAGAGAAGAAAUGGCUGGAAAGAGAGACUGGAAUGAGGUGACAAGUCAGGAACUAGAAGAGAAAGAUAAAAAGACAGGACAUGAGAAGGAAGGAAAGACACGACAGGAAAGAGAGGAAAUGGCUGGAAAGAGAAUACAAUGAUGAAGUAGAACAUAAAGCAAGGAGGAGGAGUUAAGGCUGGAGAGAAUAGACAAGGAUAAGAAAGAAGACAACCCUGGAUACAAGACGACCCUGGAAAGACAAGAUUAUCCCAGGAAAGAGGAGACAAAGCUGGAAACAGGAGACACAGCUGGGAAGAAAAUGCAAGGCCAGAAUGAGAAGAUAAGACUGGAAAGAGAGAGAGAGAGAGAGAGAGAGAGAGAGAGAGAGAGAGAGAGAGAGAGAGAGAGAGAGAGAGAGAGAACUAACUACCCGUUUGUGUGUAUUGCACGUGUUUGUUAGCUUGAUAUAUGUGUAUCAUCAGUCUGAUGAUGAUUUGAAUAUAAAUUUUAUUUAUUUGUUUAUUUCUAAAUUAGUUCGUGUAUCAGUGUAUUUAUGUAGACGAGGAUUAAGCUCUGUACAAGGUGCGCAAGCCGCACGUCUUUGUGACGUGGCAGUGGGGAGGUGAGGUGAGGUGGCAGCAGGGUGAUGAGGUGGCGACGAACCGUCAGCCAGGGUUAGUUGCUGUCCGCCCCUACCUGAAGUGUGUUGUGAUGGAUCACUGGAUGUAACAUUUAUUCAAGACUUGGGAUUAUUGUAUUAUGCUGUUUAUGAAUCCAAUUACUGGUUCGGAAAGUUCAUGGAGGCAAUCCAUAUGCGGCUGGAGCUACCGUUGUUUGCUUCAUGGUAAUCAUCAGUGUUUCCUUUGCUAAAAUGAACCUAACACAUAGCUCGGGGUAGGGCCAACUCGGCCCUUUUCCAUCUCGGCCCAUUAUGAAAAGGCAACUCGGACCAUCUUGUGGACCAACUCGGACCAUUCUCAUUUUCUGAAAUACCAAGUCGGACCACCAUGUUUGCCGACUCGGACCAUCAUAAACUGUGGGCAGUGUUGCCAACCUCUACAGACGUCUCCGCCCUACACACUUACUGAAAUUACCCUACAUUUGCCUUCAUUACCCUACGACUCGGGAUGAAAAAACAAAUUGUCAUAAUACUGGCGCAGCCGUAAUUAUUAAAUUAUUAUUAUUAAAAUUCCACUGUAAACUACAUGUAAGCAAUACAUAAGCUAAUUAUCUCUUUAAUCACGAAUCAGUAACCGCUUCAUUUGAGCGUGGGAAAAAAAAUCUCGACAAGCUGCACGUGGCUUCACGUAUGAACGUGUAUUAUCACUACAUUUGUUAGAUUCAAACCAUCAUAAACUAUCACACAGAAGGGAGCAGGUCGUUUCGGCCGUGAGCACUCUAGGCCUAGAGUCGUUUAGGCCGUGAUCCCUUUACGCCGAGAGUCGUUUAGGCCGCGACUCUGUAGGCCGUGGGUCGUUUAGGCCGUAAUACUGAGAUCCUUUUUAUAGUUUUUAUAGUGCAGUCGAUGCUGGAGGACUACUGUGGAGGCGAGAAGUGUGACGUGAUUGCAUGCUAAUGAGUUUUAUUGAUACUCUUGAUAAUGUAUCGAGAGAUCGAUACCUCCAUAAAAUAAAGAUAAUAAAUGGAAGAGACCUAUAUACAGUGGAAGAGACCUAUAUGCAGUGGAAACUAUGUUCCGUAGCGUACAUACACACACAUUAAUCGUUUUAUGAGGUACUGCAGGAAGUGCACGAAACCCAGUCAUUGAAAAUACCGGGUUUCACAGCUGCCAUUAAUCAGCUCAAGAUACACCAUUAUCACAUUUCCUGUUCUGCCACCUCUCACACCUGUGUCGCACAGCAAACUUUGCCGUGUCCGUACAAGUGCAAUUACAAUUACGAAACCUACAUACUAAUUUUGAAACAGUCUCAAUUAGUUAAUUCAAAAUAUUACUAAAUUCGAAACCUAUAAUUUCGAAAGUCUCAAAACACUGUCUUGCUUACUUAGUUGAUGUGUUGAAAUCAAAUUCUGCGUAUUCGUUAUUCCCUCACACCUCAUCGCUCAGGAUGCCUACCACAUUUCCUCGUGUUGUUUGCUCUCGACGUGUACGAUUCAACCAGCAUGCUCUGCAGUGUGACCAUUGUCAAGAACGGCAGCACAGACUCUCGGCCUAAAGGGAUCACGGCCUAACCAACUUGAACUCGGACAGAGAAGAGUGCUUCACACACUUGUCAGAUUCAAACCAUCAUAAACUAUCGCACAGAGAAGAGUGCUUCACACAUGUGUGAUUCUUCGUUCACUCACACGAUGUCCAGGCCAGAUAUCACUUGUACACGGCAGAAGGCAGUCACGGCAGAAGGCAGUCCGAUCAUGGACAAGUGUUUGGUGUGCAAAGACGUAGCGCGUCCUCGACAGGUGAGACUACAGGAUUUAAUCGUUAAUUGAAUUUAUUGUAACUAUGUUGAACAGUUUUCUGUAAUACUGAUUAUAUCUAGUGUACACUAAAAUAUCGACAUGAACCUCGGAAUAUGAUUUUUUACAGGAGGCAUUGUUGCGUGAUGGAUGUAAACCGUGGCAACACAGAACCUGUAAGGCUGGGAUUUCAAGGGAGGACUAUAGAAGAGCUGGAAGGGAGGGUCUUGACGUGAAUUGGAGCUGCACAACUUGCUCUUCUGUACAAGACAUCGCUGUACAUGACUGCCCUGAGGAUCAUCUACCUACUCCGACCCAGGCGUUAGUGGAUGAUAUAAAUUCUGAAACUUGUCUAGACGAAGACACCUUGGACAACGACACUUUGGACUGCUCUGAGGCUCAUCCACCUAUUAUAACGUAUGAAAAAAUGUGUGCAUCUUCACAAAGGGGCAAGCAGAAACUUGUGGACAGUCUACGAUUUUCAUACACCUUUAAAAGAAAAACAAAUGUUGGUGUUCAUUGGCGCUGUGCAGUGCGUACGUAAUAAAAAGGUUACCUGUAACAUGAUGGUAAAGGAAGUGAACGGAGUGUUUAUCAGAGGAGCCAAUGAACAUUCACACCCACCGGAAGCAUGUCCUUUGACUACAAGCAUGGUGUCAAAGUUAAUUAAAGACAAAGCAAUGGAUGAUGUAUUUCGCCCAGCUUUAGAAAUCGUGGAGGAAGUGCUUCUUGAACACGUUGAUCCAACAAAGCCUACUGCCUCGCUACCUGCACCGGUGAAUCUAGCUCGCCAAGCAAACAGGAAGCGGCGAGCUAACAGACCUGCUGAGCCCAGUGACCUAACUUUUUGUAUUAGUGAGGAGCACAUUCCACCUAACUUUCUUAAAGCAGAUAUAAGUAUAGGGGACAGACGCCACCUAUUGUUUGCAACACAAGAA